rnacentral:rRNA from 1 species
UUGGAGGGCAAGUCUGGUGCCAGCAGCCGCGGUAAUUCCAGCUCCAAUAGCGUAUAUUAAAGUUGUUGCAGUUAAAAAGCUCGUAGUUGAAUUUCGGGGUUAGUAGGUUGGUCAUGCCUCUGGUAUGUACUGGUCUCACUGAUUCCUCCUUCCUGAUGAGCCGUAAUGCCAUUAAUUUGGUGUUGCGGGGAAUUUGGACUGUUACUUUGAAAAAAUUAGAGUGUUUAAAGCAAGCUAACGCUUGAAUACAUUAGCAUGGAAUAAUGAAAUAGGACGUUCGAUCCUAUUUUGUUGGUUUCUAGGAUUGACGCAAUGAUUAAUAGGGAUAGUUGGGGGCAUUAGUAUUCAAUUGUCAGAGGUGAAAUUCUUGGAUUUAUUGAAGACUAACUACUGCGAAAGCAUUUGCCAAGGAUGUUUUCAUUAAUCAAGAACGAAAGUUAGGGGAUCGAAGACGAUCAGAUACCGUCGUAGUCUUAACCAUAAACUAUGCCGACUAGGGAUCGGAUGAUGUUAAUUUUUUAAUGACUCAUUCGGCGCCUUACGGGAAAC